rnacentral:rRNA from 1 species
UUUACCCGCUGGAAAUUAAGCAUAUCAAUAAGCGGAGGAAAAGAAACCAACAGGGAUUGCCUCAGUAACGGCGAGUGAAGCGGCAACAGCUCAAAUUUGAAAUCUGGCCUCUGGCCCGAGUUGUAAUUUGCAGAGGAUGUUUCUGGCGAGGUGCCUUCCGAGUUCCCUGGAACGGGACGCCAUAGAGGGUGAGAGCCCCGUACGGUUGGUCGCUAAGCCUCUGUGAAACUCCUUCGACGAGUCGAGUAGUUUGGGAAUGCUGCUCUAAAUGGGAGGUAUACGUCUUCUAAAGCUAAAUACCGGCUAGAGACCGAUAGCGCACAAGUAGAGUGAUCGAAAGAUGAAAAGCACUUUGAAAAGAGGGUUAAAUAGUACGUGAAAUUGUUGAAAGGGAAGCGCUUAUGACCAGACUUGGACCGGUUGAUCAUCCAUCGUUCUCGGUGGUGCACUCUGCCGGUUCAGGCCAGCAUCAGUUUGGCUCGGGGGAUAAAGGCUUCGGGAAUGUGGCUCCCUACGGGGAGUGUUAUAGCCCGUUGCGUAAUACCCUGGGCUGGACUGAGGUACGCGCUCCGCAAGGAUGCUGGCGUAAUGGUCAUCAGUGACCCGUCUUGAAACACGGACCAAGGAGUCGUCUUCGUAUGCGAGUGUUCGGGUGUCAAACCCCUACGCGUAAUGAAAGUGAACGUAGGAGAGAGCUUCGGCGCAUCUCCGACCGAUCCUGAUGUUCUCGGAUGGAUUUGAGUAAGAGCAUACGGGGCCGGACCCGAAAGAAGGUGAACUAUGCCUGUAUAGGGUGAAGCCAGAGGAAACUCUGGUGGAGGCUCGCAGCGGUUCUGACGUGCAAAUCGAUCGUCAAAUAUGGGCAUGGGGCGAAAGACUAAUCGAACCUUUUGGGUA